rnacentral:tRNA from 1 species
GGGUGUAGCUCAGUGGUAGAGCAAAUGCUUAGCACCCACAAGGUCCUGGGUUCAAUCCCCAGUGCUUCCU